GAAGAAUCUCUCGGGAUUUUGAAGAGUGGCGAACGGGUGAGGAACACGUAAGAAUCUACCUUUCGGUUGGGGAUAGCCCGAAGAAAUUCGGAUUAAUACCCUAUAAUAUUUACUACUCGCAUGAGUUGGUAUCUUAAAACUCCGGUGGUUAUAGAUGGGCAUGCGGCCUAUUAGUUUGUUGGUGAGGUAACGGCUCACCAAGACUACGAUAGGUAGGGGUUCUGAGAGGAUGAUCCCCCACACUGGAACUGAGACACGGCCCAGACUCC
rnacentral:rRNA from 1 species